AUGAAGAGCAGACCACACUCCCACUUCCACCGGCUCCUGCUGCUCUCUGCAAGUGCAGCGGGAAUCGCUGGCAGCCAGCAGCCGCCUUACCUGCUCCCAGAUUGCCGAGAAAGCCUGACAAAAACUCAGGCUAACCGGCAAGUCUGUUCCACGCUCUGGCGGAGAGAAGCCACGGGGGAUUUGCACCAGCGAGGAUUGACUCGAAACGCUGCCCCCGACUUCGGGAUUCGCGCUGGGCUGAGUUUGGGGACUGCCUGCCGGGGGGCGGGGGGAGCACGCUGGGGAGCGGAUCCCAGCUGGGCAGGCGGCAGCGCUGCCGGAGCCCUGCCACAGAGCGGCCGGGCUGGGCCGGCGGAGAGCCGCGCUCUGCCCUCUCCUACCUCUAACGCUGCGCUCCCGGCUCGGAGAGAACGUAUUCUGCAGGAGCUCUGUGUAGUACCAGAGGCACCGAUGCCCUGGAAGAACUCACAGGGCCAUGCUUGCUUCCCCUGCCUGGAAAUUCAGAACGACCUUUCAACCAAAGCUCAGGCCCUGUACUGUGAUGAGACCUAAAACUGUUUUCUACGUGUGAAGUUCCUCGUGUUAUGGAAGAAAGACGUGGCCCUUUCCUGCUACUGUAGCUGCAGCCCCAUCCAGGUGACACCUGCACAACUAUUUCAGUAAACCUAGUACGUAGCCAAAGCACUUACACUUCUCUAGAACCUGUGUUUAGGACAAAACAUAAACCUGAAAGAGCAGAUGCUCCUCAGAAGUUUUGGGAAGAGAUUUCAUUAGGAAGUAAGACACUAUUAUUUUUGAUGUGUACCAUUUUAGUGCUGAAGGAAAGUUUCAGAUACACGAGUCUCUAGUGGAAGAGAAAAUUGAAUGAGUACUAGGAGACCCAUUUCCCUCAGUUUCUGUGUCAUCCCAAUGGCUGAGAUGGUGUUUCCAUUUACGUGGCAAACAACCACUAACUUUGAACGCUUUUAAAUAGCAUUUGUAUGUAUGUAUUUAUAUUUGUUGCCUAGGAAAUGAGAGGCUGAAGAUGCCAGGUUAUCUAUCAAAUCCUAGUAAAUAUUUGAAAUUUCAGAAAGUGUUGAAAACGUCCCUAGAAUUUCUUUAAAUUAAGGAUGAGAUUUCAGCAUUUUGCAGAAUAUAAUGCCUCUUCAUUUUCAUAGUUCAGAGCCA
rnacentral:lncRNA from 1 species